rnacentral:rRNA from 1 species
UUGUACACACCGCCCGUCGCUACUACCGAUUGAAUGGCUCAGUGAGGCGUUCGGACUGGCCCAGAGAGGUGGGCAACUACCACUCAGGGCCGGAAAGUUCUCCAAACUCGGUCAUUUAGAGGAAGUAAAAGUCGUAACAAGGUCUCCGUUGGUGAACCAGCGGAGGGAUCAUUACCGAGUUAUACAACUCAUCAACCCUGUGAACAUACCUAUAACGUUGCCUCGGCGGGAACAGACGGCCCCGUAACACGGGCCGCCCCCGCCAGAGGACCCCCUAACUCUGUUUCUAUAAUGUUUCUUCUGAGUAAACAAGCAAAUAAAUUAAAACUUUCAACAACGGAUCUCUUGGCUCUGGCAUCGAUGAAGAACGCAGCGAAAUGCGAUAAGUAAUGUGAAUUGCAGAAUUCAGUGAAUCAUCGAAUCUUUGAACGCACAUUGCGCCCGCCAGUAUUCUGGCGGGCAUGCCUGUUCGAGCGUCAUUACAACCCUCAGGCCCCCGGGCCUGGCGUUGGGGAUCGGCGGAAGCCCCCUGCGGGCACAACGCCGUCCCCCAAAUACAGUGGCGGUCCCGCCGCAGCUUCCAUUGCGUAGUAGCUAACACCUCGCAACUGGAGAGCGGCGCGGCCACGCCGUAAAACACCCAACUUCUGAAUGUUGACCUCGAAUCA